UGGGGAAUUUUGGACAAUGGGCGCAAGCCUGAUCCAGCCAUUCCGCGUGCAGGAUGAAGGCCCUCGGGUUGUAAACUGCUUUUGUACGGAACGAAAAGGCUCUGGUUAAUACCCGGGGCUGAUGACGGUACCGUAAGAAUAAGCACCGGCUAACUACGUGCCAGCAGCCGCGGUAAUACGUAGGGUGCAAGCGUUAAUCGGAAUUACUGGGCGUAAAGCGUGCGCAGGCGGUGAUGUAAGACAGAUGUGAAAUCCCCGGGCUCAACCUGGGAACUGCAUUUUGUGACUGCAUUGCUGGAGUGCGGCAGAGGGGGGAUGGAAUUCCGCGUGUAGCAGUGAAAUGCGUAGAUAUGCGGAGGAACACCGAUGGCGAAGGCAAUCCCCUGGGCCUGCACUGACGCUCAUGCACGAAAGCGUGGGGAGCAAACAGGAUUAGAUACCCUGGUAGUCCACGCCCUAAACGAUGUCAACUGGUUGUUGGUCCUUCACUGGAUCAGUAACGAAGCUAACGCGUGAAGUUGACCGCCUGGGGAGUACGGCCGCAAGGUUGAAACUCAAAUGAAUUGACGGGGUCAUAGCUGUUUCCU
rnacentral:rRNA from 1 species